GAUGAACGCUGGCGGCGUGCCUAAUACAUGCAAGUCGAGCGAACAGACGAGGAGCUUGCUCCUCUGACGUUAGCGGCGGACGGGUGAGUAACACGUGGAUAACCUACCUAUAAGACUGGGAUAACUUCGGGAAACCGGAGCUAAUACCGGAUAAUAUAUUGAACCGCAUGGUUCAAUAGUGAAAGACGGUUUUGCUGUCACUUAUAGAUGGAUCCGCGCCGCAUUAGCUAGUUGGUAAGGUAACGGCUUACCAAGGCGACGAUGCGUAGCCGACCUGAGAGGGGGAUCGGCCACCCUGGAACUGAGAAACGGUCCAGACUCCUACGGGAGGCAGCAGUAGGGAAUCUUCCGCAAUGGGCGAAAGCCUGACGGAGCAACGCCGCGUGAGUGAUGAAGGUCUUCGGAUCGUAAAACUCUGUUAUUAGGGAAGAACAAAUGUGUAAGUAACUAUGCACGUCUUGACGGUACCUAAUCAGAAAGCCACGGCUAACUACGU
rnacentral:rRNA from 1 species